AAACAGCUUUAUUCAGCUUUUACACGGAUUAAAUGGUUGAAAAAUUUGGUGUUUUUGGAUCAAGAAACUUGCAUUUUUAGGGUUUCUGCCUUUCCUUGUGUUUCAUGCCAAAUAGGGCAUGAAUCUUUCAAAAUUUGUAGGCAUUUUGAUCAUAAAGUUGUGCAUCAAAACCUUUUGUUACUAAUUUGUGAUAAUCGUUGAGAAAAACAGAGUUUUUUGGAGAUUGAAGGCUUCGGUUCAAAAAAUCAGGUAAGAAGUUUGGGUUUUUUUUUU
rnacentral:lncRNA from 1 species